AGUCAGUGAGUGGCCUCCUUCCAAGCACCCCCUGCACCACCCCCUGCACCAGGCUGCACAGAGGAAUCCCAGGGUGCCCAUUUCUGGAGGUGCCCCCCCGAAGAGGCUGGUUAGAUGGGGACCCAAGGGGAGGCCUGAACUGCCACGUCCUCCGGUAUUGUCCCCUUCCCCUCUACUUUCUAUUUGCCCAUCUUCCUAAUUAGAGGGAAAAAAUCUACACUCACUUCCUCUAUUCAACCUUUCACUUAAAAAAAAAAAAUGCAACUCCCACCCCCCUGGUUCCCAGCCUCGAAGGGAAGCCACCCUGGCCAGGGGCAAGCAUCGCAGCAAACCACUUAGCAAACCGCAAAUUUCAGAGGCCUCGUCACAUCUGCAUUUUAUCAGCUUUUUCCGGAUAGUAUUACCCCGAGCAAUUGUCUGCAGAUCGGCCGACAGCUGAGACGUUCAAGCUCUGAAUUACGGAGAAAGGGCCGGAGAUAAAGCCGAGCACAUGUAUCCCAUCAAAGUAAUGAAAGCCGCCUGCCGCCAGGACGCCCUGCUGCCUCCUUCCUAGCCGCCCUGCCGCCCCGCAGGAAGGCUGAUUAACCCUUGCGAGGCAGGGGAAGAAGAGCAGCGGUCAUCCAAUACUCAGGCUAAUCAGGGUCCCAAGAAUGGGAGGGAGGCAGAGGGGGUGGGCCGGAAAGAACAGCCAUCGCAGAGGGCCACUCUGACCUCAGGAUUAGACCUGCUGCAUUUCCUGUCACAGGACUUUGGUGGGACGGCAAAAAGGUAGAUGAAUAAAGGACUUGGUGUCCACAAGGUCCCAGAGACACUGCCUGGGUAUUAAGCAUUCCUAGAGGAGUGAGGGCAAGCAGUUUCCUGUGAGUAAGCCUUGCCUUGCUGUGAACGGAUGCCAUGUUUGCAAGAGUUGGUA
rnacentral:lncRNA from 10 species